AGUUUUAUAGUAUAUUAUAUAGAUAUAUAUUAAUUUGCAGAAUUAAAGAAGUUUAAAGACUAAAGCUA
rnacentral:tRNA from 1 species